rnacentral:rRNA from 1 species
AGGAUGAACGCUGGCGGCGUGCCUAACACAUGCAAGUCGAACGUCCUGUCUCGCAAGAGGCAGGGAGUGGCGGACGGGUGAGUACCACGUGGGUUAUCUACCGUGAGGUGAGGAAUACCGGCGAGAAAUCGCCGACAAUACCGCAUAGCCUCGGUGCAAGCCGAGGAAAGCUUUCUCGAGAGAGGGAGCGCCACACGAGGAGCCUGCGCCCGAUUAGCUAGCUGGUGGAGUAACGGUUCACCAGGGCGACGAUCGGUAGCUGGUCUGAGAGGACGAUCAGCCACACUGGGAUUGAGAACGGCCCAGACUCCUACGGGGGGCAGCAGUGAGGAAUUUUCGUCAAUGGGGGCAACCCUGAACGAGCAACGCCGCGUGCAGGAAGAAGGUUUUCGGAUCGUAAACUGCUUUUCUCGGGGAAGAGAACGGACGGUACCCGAGGAAUCAGCCCGGCUAACUACGUGCCAGCAGCCGCGGUAA